UUACAGUACCUGUGUUUGGUCUGUGGUUGGGUUCUCAACAGAAGGUCCUAUAAUAUCAGUUCCUACAUCCGGCAAGUCUUCAUCUGAUCUUCUGAUCUCCUCACGUCUAUAACAAAAACAUCAGAUGGUUGUCUUCUUCAUAUCCAGUGGAGAAGGUACGACACCUCAGAGAGCAGAAGAACAUACACAAGAACUAACAGGAGAGAUGCUGAAGAGCGAUUCCUGCAUUGUGACACGUGAUGUUCAUUCAACACAGGCAUUCACAAAUGUGCUACGGUUAUUCAGAUAUCACGUAACAGAGCACAAGAAGACAUGCAAAUGGAUAUGAGGUGAAGAGUUCUGCACGAGACUGCGCUGCUCCACACCUGAACCUGCCGAAUGCAAAACGCAGACAUGAGAACACUGUGAUUAUUCAAACACAAAAUUAACAAAAUUAUUAUCUUCAGAGAAUCUGCUUCAGUUUUCAUGACAAUAUGCAAAGAUAUUGGAUAUAGCAAGUUUGAUCACUCCUAUAACUAUGAAUAGGGGAUAAUGCAAUUAAUGCUUAAUAUGGCAGUUCUGGUGAUACAAGUCCCGCCCUCCAGUUAAAACAACCAAACAUGAAUCGAUAAACACUUGCAAUUCUCUGAGGCAGGGGCUCUAUAUAGAGUCACAUGAUGAGAAACACUUACCAACCUGUCUUUUAGCACAAUUUGCUUGAGAAACAAAGUUAUGUUACAAUUCAUGUCAGGUUUAAUUGUUGGUCAAAAGUUUGCAGUUUAACUGUGAUUUAAGCACACGAUUUUAGAGAUGUCUCUCUUAGAGAUGCACCAAUAUUUAAAAAAAAUCAGGCUGAUAUUGGCCAA